AACACAUGCAAGUCGAACGAAGUAGCAAUACUUAGUGGCAGACGGGUGAGUAACAUGUAGGUAUCUACCCUUUGGCCUGGAAUAACACGAGGAAACUUGUGCUAAUACCGGAUAAGUCUUUACGGAGAAAGCUUUAUGCACCAUUGGAUGAGCCUGCACUUGAUUAGUUUGUUGGUGGGGUAAUGGCCUACCAAGACUGUGAUCAAUAGCUGAUUUGAGAGGAUGAUCAGCCACAUUGGGACUGAGACACGGCCCAAACUCCUACGGGAGGCAGCAGUGGGGAAUCUUGCACAAUGGAGGAAACUCUGAUGCAGCGAUGCCGCGUGAGUGAAGAAGGCCUUUGGGUUGUAAAGCUCUUUCGUCGGGGAAGAAAAUGACUGUACCCGAAUAAGAAGGUCCGGCUAACUUCGUGCCAGCAGCCGCGGUAAUACGAAGGGACCUAGCGUAGUUCGGAAUUACUGGGCUUAAAGAGCUCGUAGGUGGUUAAAAAAGUUGAUGGUGAAAUCCCAAGGCUCAACCUUGGAACUGCCAUCAAAACUUUUUAGCUAGAGUGUGAUAGGGGUAAGUGGAAUUUCUAGUGUAGAGGUGAAAUUCGUAGAUAUUAGAAAGAACACCAAAUGCGAAGGCAACUUACUGGGUCACUACUGACACUGAGGAGCGAAAGCAUGGGUAGCGAAGAGGAUUAGAUACCCUCGUAGUCCAUGCCGUAAACGAUGUGUGCUAGACGUUGGAAAUAUAUUUUUCAGUGUCGCAGCGAAAGCAUAAGCACACCGCCGGA
rnacentral:rRNA from 1 species